UACUGUCUGGUGUCACUUCAGACAAUUUUGCAACGGUUUACUGUAUGUUCUGUCUAUUUGUCUGCCAAACUCUCAAACUUGUUGUCUUUCUUUUUGUCUUCCUCUUUGGGCACCGGUAGGCACAGAGUCAUUCCGGUAGGCACAGAGUCGUUCCUCGAUGGACGUGAUGACCUGGCACCAAAACCGCUUAAUGUGUAUGAAGCUGUGUCUGCAUCGAGGGAAGAACCCAGCACUGAAAUGACACAAAUGAAAGAAGAGUACUUCUGCUCUGCUGGGUCUGCGACACUACUUAUCCGAGGAGUCCUCAAACAUCAGGAUGUUGGAAGACACAAGUAAAAGGAGAAGAAUGCUGCUCAGCUGGGUCGGCGGUCACACUACUUAUUCAAGAAGCUCUUGGAUAUCAUCGGCAUGUAUAAAGCACAGUCAUUCCGGUAGGAACGGAGUCGUUCCUCGAUGGACGUGAUGACCUGGCACCAAAACCGCUUAAUGUGUAUGAAGCUGUGUCUGCAUCGAGGGAAGAACCCAGCACUGAAAUGACACAAAUGAAAGAGGACGUCUUCUCUGCUGGGUCUGCGACACUACUUAUCCUAGGAAUCCUCAAACAUCAGGAUGUAGGAAGUAAGAUCUUUUUUAUGUCAUGCAUAACAGCCCAUGCGUGCACGCACACACACACACAUACAAAACAUGCACGUGCACACUCCACUCUACACCAAACACAGAUAAACACACACAACCUUAAAGGAAAAUCCCUACUAGUUUCAACAUCUAAUUAUAUUGUUCUCACUACCACUGGCUUGUCAGGACCCAACAGCCUCUUUUUUCCAGCCCUGUCCGUCAUCUCAUUCUAAUGAGUGCAUGAUCUGUUUACAUAUAAAACAGACAUAGCGUGUAGCACCCAAAAUGCACAUGCAGUCAAGUCAAAAAUAACAUAUAUAUAAUUUCCCUAAACCAUAUUUAUGAUGACUG